CGCGGCCUAUCAGCUUGUUGGUGGGGUAACGGCCUACCAAGGCAACGACGGGUAGCUGGUCUGAGAGGACGAUCAGCCACACUGGCACUGAGAUACGGGCCAGACUCCUACGGGAGGCAGCAGUGAGGAAUAUUGCGCAAUGGGCGAAAGCCUGACGCAGCGACGCCGCGUGGGGGAAGAAGGUCUUCGGGUCGUAAACCCCUUUCAGCAGGGACGAAAUUGACGGUACCUGCAGAAGAAGCGCCGGCCAACUACGUGCCAGCAGCCGCGGUAAUACGUAGGGCGCAAGCGUUGUCCGGAUUCAUUGGGCGUAAAGGGCUCGUAGGCGGUUUGGCAAGUCGGGUGUGAAAACUCAGGGCUCAACUCUGAGACGCCACUCGAUACUGCCAUGACUAGAGUCCGGUAGGGGGGUGUAGAAUUCCUGGUGUAGCGGUGAAAUGCGCAGAUAUCAGGAGGAAUACCGAUAGCGAAGGCAGCACUCUGGGCCGGUACUGACGCUGAGGAGCGAAAGCGUGGGGAGCAAACAGGAUUAGAUACCCUGGUAGUCCACGCCGUAAACGCUGGGCACUAGGUGUCGGGGGGCUUGGUCCCUUCGGUGCCGCAGCUAACGCAUUAAGUGCCCCGCCUGGGGAGUACGG
rnacentral:rRNA from 1 species